rnacentral:tRNA from 1 species
UCCAGAGUAGCUCAAUGGUGGAGCACCCGGCUGUUAACCGGUAGGUUCAGGGUUCGAGUCCCCGCUCUGGAG